rnacentral:rRNA from 1 species
UGUUCGGAAUUAUUGGGCGUAAAGGGUGCGUAGGCGGUUCCGCAAGUCCUGUGUGAAAUCUUCGGGCUCAACUCGAAGUCUGCACGGGAAACUGCGGGGCUUGAGUGUGGGAGAGGUGAGUGGAAUUCCCGGUGUAGCGGUGAAAUGCGCAGAGAUCGGAAAGAACACCAACGGCGAAAGCACUCUGCUGGGCCGACACUGACACUGAGAGACGAAAGCUAGGGGAGCGAAUGGG